rnacentral:lncRNA from 1 species
CCCCGUGUUGAAUAUUAGAUUGAUAAAUUUCAAUGGUUUUGGAUUGCCAAUCUCACAAAAAUGCUUACGAUCUUUUUAUUGAUAAAUUUUAGUAUUUUAUUGUCAUUCUCUAGAAAGUAAUUCAUGAUCCCAUCUUUAGUCAGUUUUAUCAUUUUAAUUUUUAGAAGAUAAUUUAUGAAGCCAUUCAUAGAUCCUUGUUUAUUG